rnacentral:rRNA from 1 species
AUGGUUUGUUUUACUUGUGAAGGCCCUGGUCAUUACGUUGGUAAGUGCAUUCAAAAGAAGAUUUGCUUCAUAUGUGGGCGGGAGGGUCACAACGUGAACAACCGUGCGGCUUGGGCGCAACCUCACCCAGUUGCCACCUUCUUUGGAAGCUCAGCUCCGGGGCUAGGGUUCUACCACAUUGAUGCUCCGGUGGGUCGUGAAGCAAAUUGGCUCAACUUCAGAAACUGUGGAGAGGUUUGGGUCAUGAAGGGAGAAAUCGGCCAGUCGGACUUGAUCAAGAACCUGUCAAGGAUUUUCUGCAAAAACAAACAGUGGACUUGGCAAGUCAGACCUCUGUCUGAAAAGAAGUUCCUGGUUCGAUUCCCACCCUGGAAAGAUGUGGAAGAGUUGAUUGAGUUUCCUUCUUUCGAUUUGCCUAUCGAUGGAGCGUCUGUGACAAUGGAGAAGUGGACCGGUGCGAUUGACCCAUUCAGUGAGCUAACUGAGGCAUGGGUGGUCACUGAAGGUCUCUCGUCCAAAUGGUGCACAUGGAAAGUGCUGUCACAAAUUGCAUCCUGCUUUGGGAUCCUUGUGGAUGUGGACUGGAAUGGUCUAAUGAAAAGUUUUUAUGAGAAGGUGAGAGUCAAGAUUGCUUGCAGGAACCCAACAAAAAUUCCCUUUGAACGAAUCAUGGAGAUGAGGAAAAAACUGUAUAUCUUGUCAUUCACAGUUGAAGGCUUCGAUCAGAUAGGUGCUGACGACCCCAAUGAUGAUAAUGGCCCUACUCACAUAUCUGUGGACGAUGACAAUAAAGAACUUGAAGAUGAGGAAAUUGACAAGGAUAUCCUAGAUGAUGGGGAAGAACCUAUUGAUGCUCUGAACCUGGCCAACAGGGCUACCUCCUCGAAGAAAACACCAGCUGGAAAAAAUACUAAUGAUAAUGAUGUGGCCUUCCAUCCUGCGCCCUGA